CCUACGGGUGGCUGCAGUGGGGAAUAUUGCACAAUGGGGGAAACCCUGAUGCAGCGACGCCGCGUGAGUGAAGACGUAACUCGUUAUGUAAAGCUCUAUCAGUAGGGAAGAAAUUGACGCUACCUGAGUAAUAAUCCCCGGCUAACUACGUGCCAGCAGCCGAGGUAAUACGUAGGCGGCAAGCGUUAUCCGGAUUUACUGGGUGUAAAGGGAGCGUAGACGGCAGUGCAAGUCUUGAGUGAAAGGCGGGGGCUCAACCCGCGGACUGCUCUGGAAACUGUACGGCUCGAGUUCAGGAGAGGUAGGUGGAAUGAGUAGGGGAGCGGUGAAAUGCGUAGAUAUUA
rnacentral:rRNA from 1 species